GGAGCUCGGGGGACGACCAGUGCCAACGAGCGGUUAACAUCUUCUGUAUCAAGAGGUAGGACUUCUAAACAGGAAGGUAAGCCGAGCCUGCAGUUGGAGUGUUAAAGGUAGCAGUCCCCGAGGUAAGACUUUCUAGAUUACCAUUCUCAGUCCCAUUAGUCCCUGACUCUGUCAAGCCAUCAGGAUCAGACAAGGAAGAAGGAGGAAAGUAAGCUAGAGAUAGCAGAUUAUCGGGCAGCGGCAGGAUUAAAUUCAUUUUUAGUUUAAGUUAUCGUUGCAGCCUUGGAUCGAGUUGCAGUGCUAAGAUAAUAUCCUGCUUUUUUCAAAGCAGCUAUCUUUUCUCUGGCCUUAGUUAUUAUAUAUAAUACGUUUUACACUCUUUAAGCUAUUGAUGUAGCCUCUUUUCGCUACCUACUAGAUCUUCGAGUGGAAGAUAUUUAAGUUCCUAUGGGAUGAAGCUUUCCUAGCCUCAAGUAUUCAUCUCAGAGGUAAUUUCAGAAAGUGAUGUCAGAUUAGCACGCUCUUGGGUUUAACUAACAAGGACUUUUCUUUCGCGGGCUACUAGCUGUAAGGCUCUGGUUUUUUUUCCCAGGUUAUGCCAUAAUCCUAUCGAACUAUUGGAUUUAUCGAUGGCUAUAUUCUUAACACACUUGCUGGUUACGGAAUAGGGGAUUAGCCCCCGACCUGUAGAUGCUCCGUAGCAAGUCUGGUUCUGUCUCGGGUAGUUCGACUAGUAGUAGUAGUAGCGAGCCAG